GGUUUUUGCAGAAAACGAAGUUCGAAGGGAUAAUUGCUUUACAGAGUUUUGUCGUUUUCUGCCACUCCUCAACAUGAAUCAGCCACAGGAUAAAUGUCCAAGACGGUAAUUUCUGGGUCACACGCGGGCUUCCCUGGUAGCUCAGUCAGUAAAGAAUCUACCUUUAAUGCAAGAGUCGGGUUCGACACCUGGGUUGAGAAGAUCUCCUGCAGAAGGAAACAGCAACCCACUCCAGUAUUCUUGCUUCGGAAACCUCAGGGACAGAGGAGCCUGGAGGGCUAUAGUCCAUGGGGCUGUAAGAGUUGGACAAGUCUUAGCAACUAAACCACCA
ensembl:lncRNA